rnacentral:lncRNA from 1 species
CCAGGAAACCAGGAUAACAACAGAAUCUACUCCCAGCAGUGUUGUGAGGAUUUGGAGCAUUGCGUCAGGGAAAGCCCGUUGCUGAGUGCCUGGCACGUGGGGAAGAGUGGGUGGAAGAACAUGCUUCCUCUCAUCACUGUGCCCCCAUCUGAGAGGUUUCAGGACAUCAAGAAUUCAAGAGGGGAUGAAGUCCACGCUGCUAACACCAUCACAUUGUAUUUGAAAACACAAUCUUUAGAGGAAAAAAAUAACUUCAGAUGGAUAUAUGAUUAUGUAAGAAAUCAGGCUGGCCGUGGUGGCUCAUGCAUGUAAUUCCAGCAUUCUGGGAGGCUGAGGUGGGAGGAUCACUUGAGUCCAGGAGCUCGACCUGGGCAAUGUAGUAGGACCCCAUCUCUACAAAAAGUAAACAAAAAUUAGCCCGGCAUGGUGGUACAUGCCUGUAGUUCCAGCUACUUGAGAGGCUG